UACAGGGGGGUGCAAACGUUGCUCGGAAUCAUUGGGCGUAAAGCGCACGUAGGCGGUUCGUUAUGUCGGAUGUGAAAGCCCUUGGCUUAACCGAGGAGUGCAUCCGAAACUGGCGAGCUAGAGUACUAAAGAGGAUCGCGGAAUUCCCGGUGUAGAGGUGAAAUUCGUAGAUAUCGGGAGGAACACCGGUGGCGAAGGCGGCGACCUGGGCCAAUACUGACGCUGAGGUGCGAAAGCGUGGGGAGCAAACAGG
rnacentral:rRNA from 1 species